rnacentral:rRNA from 1 species
GACGAACGCUGGCGGCGUGCUUAACACAUGCAAGUCGAACGAUGAAGCCUUUCGGGGUGGAUUAGUGGCGAACGGGUGAGUAACACGUGGGCAAUCUGCCCUGCACUCUGGGACAAGCCCUGGAAACGGGGUCUAAUACCGGAUAUCACCUGGAGGGGCAUCUCUUCGGGUUGAAAGCUCCGGCGGUGCAGGAUGAGCCCGCGGCCUAUCAGCUUGUUGGUGGGGUGAUGGCCUACCAAGGCGACGACGGGUAGCCGGCCUGAGAGGGCGACCGGCCACACUGGGACUGAGACACGGCCCAGACUCCUACGGGAGGCAGCAGUGGGGAAUAUUGCACAAUGGGCGAAAGCCUGAUGCAGCGACGCCGCGUGAGGGAUGACGGCCUUCGGGUUGUAAACCUCUUUCAGCAGGGAAGAAGCGUGAGUGACGGUACCUGCAGAAGAAGCGCCGGCUAACUACGUGCCAGCAGCCGCCGUAAAAC